rnacentral:lncRNA from 1 species
AGCCAAAAGCACCUGUUGAGGAUGCAUUUUUUUUUUCGCCUGGGUGUUUCUCUUGGAGAGGGUCAUGAGAUGAUCAUUGGUGGCUACAGAGAGAUGUUCCCAGUAAGCUCAGGCCUAGGUCUUGUGAAAUAUGCAAGAAAGGAUAUUCACCUAUGCUAGGCUUGGUGCUGUCUUCCAUUCAGCAAGAGUGCACUCAUGUGGACAUCCCUCCUCCCCAACUCCCAGGCCCGUGGCCAGCCUGACCCACAUGCACACAUACCUGCUUCUCCUAAAGUCAGGCCAGGUUCUAAGUCCAUCGUGCAGGACACUUGCCGUCCCUCCCCACUCUUUGCUUGUUCCUGCAUUUACUGCCACCUAAUCUAAGCGCUCAGCUUCA